rnacentral:rRNA from 1 species
AUUGAACGCUGGCGGCAGGCUUAACACAUGCAAGUCGAACGAUGAAGACAUAGCUUGCUAUAUCGGAUUAGUGGCGGACGGGUGAGUAACACUUAGGAAUCUACCUUUUAGCGGGGGAUAGCUCGGGGAAACUCGAAUUAAUACCGCAUAAUUUCUACGGAAUAAAGAGGGCUUUUAGCUCUCACUAGAAGAUGAGCCUAAGUAAGAUUAGCUAGUUGGUGGGGUAAAAGCCUACCAAGGCGACGAUCUUUAGCUGGUCUGAGAGGAUGAUCAGCCACACUGGGACUGAGACACGGCCCAGACUCCUACGGGAGGCAGCAGUGGGGAAUAUUGGACAAUGGGGGCAACCCUGAUCCAGCCAUGCCGCGUGUGUGAAGAAGGCCUUUUGGUUGUAAAGCACUUUAAGCAGUGAAGAAGACCUAUUGGUUAACACCCAAUAGCGAUGACAUUAACUGCAGAAUAAGCACCGGCUAACUCUGUGCCAGCAGCCGCGGUAAUACAGAGGGUGCAAGCGUUAAUCGGAAUUACUGGGCGUAAAGCGAGCGUAGGUGGUUAAAUAAGUCAGAUGUGAAAGCCCUGGGCUCAACCUAGGAACGGCAUCUGAAACUAUUUAACUAGAGUAGGUGAGAGGGAAGUAGAAUUUCAGGUGUAGCGGUGAAAUGCGUAGAGAUCUGAAGGAAUACCGAUGGCGAAGGCAGCUUCCUGGCAUCAUACUGACACUGAGGCUCGAAAGCGUGGGUAGCAAACAGG